rnacentral:rRNA from 1 species
AGUGAACGCUGGCGGUAGGCCUAACACAUGCAAGUCGAACGGCAGCACAGUAAGAGCUUGCUCUUACGGGUGGCGAGUGGCGGACGGGUGAGGAAUACAUCGGAAUCUACUUUUUCGUGGGGGAUAACGUAGGGAAACUUACGCUAAUACCGCAUACGACCUACGGGUGAAAGCAGGGGAUCUUCGGACCUUGCGCGAUUGAAUGAGCCGAUGUCGGAUUAGCUAGUUGGCGGGGUAAAGGCCCACCAAGGCGACGAUCCGUAGCUGGUCUGAGAGGAUGAACAGCCACACUGGGACUGAGACACGGCGCAGACUCCUACGGGAGGGAGCAGUGGGGAAUGUUGGACAAUGGGCGCAAGCCAGAGCGAGCAACGCCGAGUGAGGGAAGAAGGUCUUCGGGAUGUAAAGUGCUUUUGUACGGGACGAAGCAGUGCGGGUGAAUACACGGGGGGCAUGACGGUACCGGAAGAAUAAGCACCGGCUAGCGACGUG